rnacentral:rRNA from 1 species
GACGUAGGGCGCGAGCGUUGUCCGGAUUUAUUGGGCGUAAAGAGCUCGUAGGCGGUUUGUCGCGUCUGCCGUGAAAGUCCGGGGCUCAACUCCGGAUCUGCGGUGGGUACGGGCAGACUAGAGUGAUGUAGGGGAGACUGGAAUUCCUGGUGUAGCGGUGAAAUGCGCAGAUAUCAGGAGGAACACCGAUGGCGAAGGCAGGUCUCUGGC